CAAGUGAACGCGAAAGUUCCCUUCGGGGAAGCGAGUAGAGUGGCGCACGGGUGAGUAACACGUAGGUAAUCUACCUUUGGAUUGGGAAUAACCACCGGAAACGGUGGCUAAUACCGAAUAAUGCAGCGGCACCUAAUGGUGACAGUUGUUAAAGCGGGGGAUCGCAAGACCUCGCGUCUGAAGAGGAGCCUGCGGCAGAUUAGCUAGUUGGUAAGGUAACGGCUUACCAAGGCGAUGAUCUGUAGCCGGCCUGAGAGGGCGGUCGGCCACACUGACACUGACAUACGGGUCAGACUCCUACGGGAGGCAGCAGUCGGGAAUUUUGGGCAAUGGGCGAAAGCCUGACCCAGCAACGCCGCGUGAAGGAUGAAAUCCUUCGGGAUGUAAACUUCGCAAGAACAGGAAGAAUAAGUAAGGGUUAAUAUCUCUUACGAUGACGGUACUGUUUGUAAGCUCCGGCUAACUCCGUGCCAGCAGCCGCGGUAAUACGGGGGGAGCAAGCGUUGUUCGGAUUUACUGGGCGUAAAGGGCGCGUAGGCGGCCUCCGCAAGUCGACUGUGAAAUCUCCGGGCUUAACCCGGAACGGUCAGCCGAAACUGCGGGGCUAGAGUGCAGAAGGGACAACUGGAAUUCUCGGUGUAGCGGUGAAAUGCGUAGAUAUCGAGAGGAACACCUGCGGCGAAGGCGGGUUGCUGGGCUGACACUGACGCUGAAGCGCGAAAGCUAGGGGAGCGAACGGGAUUAGAUACCCCGGUAGUCCUAGCCCUAAACGAUGAAUGCUUGGUGUCUGGGGUUUUAUAGUCCCCGGGUGCC
rnacentral:rRNA from 1 species